GGUAUCCAUCAUAUUGCAGACCAAACAUAUGGCCUAGAAACGCUUUACCAGAACUUGAAGUGGCUUUCAAAGCACUUGGGAAACUGAUAUUUGACAUUGGAUUGAUGUUGGCAUAUCACUGCGAUCAAUAUGUAUCCAAAGGGAUGAAAAUUCACAAGGAUGAAGGUCUGGAAUCAAUACUUCAUCGCUCCCGCUGUCAUAAAGGACGCUUGCUAUAUUAUUUUCCUUCACA